UACAGAGGGUGCGAGCGUUAAUCGGAAUUACUGGGCGUAAAGCGUGCGUAGACGGUUAUCUAAGUCGGAUGUGAAAGCCCCGGGCUCAACCUGGGAAUUGCAUUCGAGACUGAAUAGCUAGGGUGCGGUAGAGGGAAGCGGAAUUUCCGGUGUAGCGGUGAAAUGCGUAGAUAUCGGAAGGAACAUCAGUGGCGAAAGCGGCUUCCUGGACCAGCACCGACGUUCAGGCACGAAAGCGUGGGGAGCAAACGGG
rnacentral:rRNA from 1 species